rnacentral:lncRNA from 1 species
AUGAAACUUAAAGGAAAUUUCAAAGUCCAGAACCAAACUCGACUUCUAUUUGAACCUUCCUCAUUCUCAAAGAGCUCAAAACACUUACAAAAAGAAAAGCACUUUAACCAAGCUCUCAACUAUGUAGAGGCAGAUUUUAUCAUUAUCGUUGGAAAAUAAUUUCAAUAAAUCAUAAGUGGAAUUAACAUGUAUUUAACACCCAUGACUAUGGAAUCAAAACUAAACACUUCAGCCAGUCACACUGAAAAUCACAGUACAUAUUUAAUAGUUAUUACAGAGUCCAAGACAAUCUCUAUUCAAUUGCAUCCUCAUAAGUUCAAGUCUAAACUAAAAAAAAGAAGAAAUGCACACAAAACUAUACUAAAAUAAAACAAGAACUAGAUUCAAACUGAAUAGAUAGCAAAAACUAGUAUUGAUCAUUGCUUCAACUUGAAUUACAGAAGUUCAUAGUUGCACUUCACAUGAUAAUAGAUCCAAGGCAUACCUAAUAUUGAAGAACAAAGCCAAAAGAAAGUGAGAGAUUAAGAAGCAGCACUAGCAUAGCAGAAUCAAAACCAGCAGAACCAACUCAAACCAAAAGGAAUGUGAAAGCAAUUGAAAACAGCAUCACUUGAACAAUAACCACAGCAACUUCAAAACCAAACCUUAAAUACCCAACUUCAAUCCAUUUUUAACACUAUAUCAAUCAGAAAAUCCUUCAAGAAAUUGAAAGCUUAAGAAAUCACAGAAGGAAUUUAAUGAAACAGUAAUUUUCACUUAAAUUCUAGCCGUCUUUAUUUAUUUUGAAUUUUAUCUCUGAAAGUCUUCCUUGAAAUUCAAGUUAAGGUGCCUUUAUAACUAAGGUAUUAGGGCAGCCUUAAAGGUUCAAUUUUUAACCUUUGUCCCUUUUUAAAUUCUGGUUUUUGCUACUUAAUCCCUUAAUUUUUGACUUUUUCCAAGUAAGUCUGCUUUGCAGAUUCUAGGAAGCUUCCUAAUCUGUUAGACCUAGAUUCCCUAAGUUAAACUACCCAAAUUACCCCUUAGUCACCAUGUUAUUACCCUUCAAACCAAGACCAAAAAAGGGUCAAAUUGACCCAAUUCAGAGCCUAUAAGUCUAUAAUCCCCAUUAAUUUUCCUCUUAGGCUUGUGAAAUUUUAGAAGCACAAUUCAAACCAAAGAGAAGUCCAUAAUUUAAGGACUGGCCAAGUUAGUGAAUUCAAAAAAAGCAGAAGAACGCCAAACAAGAAAAAACCUUUUAAAAGAAUCAUGGACAGAAGAUAAAAUGGUGAUGAACUAAACAACAAAAUCAAUGAAUUGAAACGUACCAUUAAGAUAAAUAUGUAUGACAAGACACACGAACAAAUGAUGGAUGCAGCAAAGAAAAAAUAAAAAUCAAAAAUGAAGGAAAAGAAAGCAUAAAAGACAAAAGAAUGAAAAAAAUACCUAACGAUGACAGCCAAAACUUGAAAUCAUAUCCAAGCCUCUUAUCAAACCCAUGGACUCAAGUGUUGGGAACUCUAGGUUUCGUGCUCAAAUUUAAAAUUUAAGGAGCUUAAGGAAGAUAUUUGUGGAUUUAAUAUGGAGGGGUCGAGGGGAUUUUAGGGUGUUAGUUUGGUAGGGUUUGGAGGUGGUGUCUCCACCAGAGAAAGUGUGGCGGCGCUAGGGUUCCCUAAUUUUGAUCGGAUAUUUGGAGAGUUAUUGGGUGAUUUGAGUGAAGGUGGUUGGAUAUAUGGAAAGAGGUGAGUGAGGAGGUUAUUUGGUGUAAUUUUGGGGGUGUUUGGCCGCCGGGCUGCCGCCGUGGAUGAUUUUCUACGGGCGGCAGACGGUGGCAGACGGCGGCGUUAAUUAGGUCUCUAAGGGGUGUUGAGAUGGAGAGUGACUGGACGGUUGCUGGGGGUGGGGGUGGCUUGGACAUAUGUAUGUUAAAUGGUCUAAAAUUCUCAUCCGUUGGAUUAGAUGAGAUCGAAGAUUGAGAUUAAUUCAUCCUAGGGGUCGUUUUGGCCAUGGGGGAGG